UUGAACCUGGACCUUACAGCUGGCGCUGUAAAGAGGUGCAUGAAAUGUUAUGUUAUCAUUCUGUCCCAGGGAACAGUAGCAGGGGAUGGGUUCACUCUGUGAGCAAUCACCUGCUUCAAUUAGCAGCCUGUAGGUAAGAUCUGCCCUCUGCACUUGUUUGAGGGCAGUAAGUUCCCUGCAGCAGUUUGUGAGGGUGGCAUCACUCAAAGGGCACUCUGUGUGCACAUGUGUAAGUCACGUGCAUGGAGGACUGAGCUAAAUAAUCCCAAAUCUGUUGGCUUUAUAUGAAAUUCUUCUUGUAUCAUUUGCCAAAAUGCUCCUACAUGAUUGAAUUUCUCAUUUCCUGCCUCCUCAGCAAAGGUUUGACAGCUGAGCAGGAAAUUUCCUCCCUUUCAAUGCCCAUAUGUUUCUCCUCUCUUUCUCGUCUCUUGAUUGGUCUAUUUCUGCCUCGUUAUUCAUUCACCAUAUUACGCAAAUUCCAAUCUUAACCUCCAAUAAAAUAAAUUCUGAAUGAUACAUAACCUUGCUGUAAAAUAAUAACCAUAAAAUCUAGCGCAUAAAAAUAUUAGCCAAUAUAAAAAUUCCUACUUACUCAUAAAAUGGACUCUCACCGCAACUGCCUGACCCCAUAAUAAACAGUAUAUGCACUUUGCCUGGAUUUCCACGCCAGGAAAUAGUGCACUUUCAGCAGGGCUGUUGAGAGUAAUCCUGCUCCGGGCUGGGAGAGAUACCCUGUUGCCAUAGAGAUAGGACAGAAGUACAUUCCAGUGCGGGUAACUUCACUCACCUCAACACUGAACUGAUUCUGCAAUCUACAGAUUCACUUUCAAGGUCUCUACAACUCAUCCUCUCAGAAUUAUUUAUUUACUUAUUACUUGUUUAACUUUUGUAUUUGUACAGUUUGUCUUCUUUUGCACAGUUGUUUUUUUUUGUCUUUCAAUGUAGUUUUUCAUCUAUUCUAUUGUAUUUCUUUGUGCUAUUGUGAAUGCCUGCAAGAACAUGGAGCUCAAGGUAGUAUCUGGUGACAUGCCUGUGUAGGUACUUUGAAAAUAAAUUUACUUCGAACUUUGAGCCUUCCCAGAUAAAGGGGAUACAGAAACUUUGUUAUGGACAUAAGAUAUUGCAGACUCUGCUGAGAGCCACAGAGAUGGGCCAAGUCAUUUAAUUAAGAGACGCUGAGCAAGAGAAGUCUAUUAAACCUUAGAGUAUGUCAAAAGCAUAUGAUAUUGAAAUGUCUGGCUAGAGUGGACACAGAGAGGAUGUUUCUAUUAGUGGGAGAGUCUAGAAUCCAAGGGCACAGCCACAGAAUAAUGGGAAGUCUGUUUAUUCACUUAUUUGAUUUAUUUAUGGAACGGGCUCUUCUGGCUCAAGGUGUCACACAGCCCAGCAACCCACCUAUCGAAAACUUGCCUAAUCACAGGACAACUUACAACAACCAGUUAACCUACUAGCAAUACGUCUUUGCAGGAGGAAACCGAAGCACCCACACGGUUCACGGGGGAGAACAUACUAACUCCUUACAGACAGUGCCAAAAUUGAACUCCGAACUCCAGAAUGCCCGAUCUGUAACAGUGGCAGGCUAACCGCUGCACUACCGGAGUGCCCUCAAAACUAAGCAACCUCACAUGGAUUCUAUUUGGACCAGAGAUACAGCGUGGUACAGGCCCUCUGGUCCAAUGAGCUGCACCAUCCAGCAUCCCAUCUAUUUAACACUAGCCUAAGC